UCUUACAUGAUUGUCUUUGGUAGUUGCUUUGCUCUGUUCUUAUUUUCUCUUUUAUUGCUCCGUUCCUUCGAAGCCUCUUCUUGGUUUUGCUCUUCUUGAUACAGAUUGGUCAGGUGAGCUUUUUCUUUUACUGAACUAUCUCAUCUAUAAUGCUGUUUAUUCCAAUAUGUUUUUUUGGUCGAUCAUUCGUGGACUAACUCAGCUUUACUUACUUUGUUUAUGGGUGUUUUAUAUUUUGCCGUUGCAUUAAGGUAAGCCUAUUUUAAAUUUCCUGUCUUCUUUGAUUCUUUAUUCUACCUUUCAUUUAUCCAUUAUUUGUUCUUAUUUGUGUUCUGCCUUUUUCCCCUGUUUUCCCUUUACAUUUUGCAUGAGCUUUCUUCGUCUGUGGUUGCUGUAAGGAACUUUCUUUCUUUGUCACUAGACACUUGCAAAUUGGACUGUUCUGUGAGCCACCGAAUGUUUUGCUUCCACUCAAAAGAGUGACAAUAAUUGUGCUUUUUCUUCAAUGGUUGGGCCUAUUUUCCACCUUGCCUAACCUUUUAAACUAUACCUGCUUCUUUGACUUUGCCGUCGAUUUUCCUUCUUGUUCGUAUGGUGUUAGGAGCUGUUUUUCUUCUCAGAAGGUGAUGGGAUUUGGUGGAUGACGAGCUCAAGAAGGUAAGGGGCUAGUAAUCUUCUGUCUUGGUUACUCUUUCCAUUUUUCUCUUUUUUCUUCAUCUCCCUUUUCCCUCCUACCUCUCUCGAGUAAUAAUAGUUAGUUUCUUCUAUUUUUUUGCCUUUUUUUCCCUAAUCUUUUUUUUCCUUUGCUAAAAGCAACAAAUCAUUUUCUCCUCUCCUCUGCGUCUCUGUUUGUUAUGUUCUCAGAUAUUUUGCUAUUAAGAAAACUUCAUUUUUUUUGGGCUUUGUAAUCACUGAAUCUCCACUAUACUUAAUUUUCUGACAUGCUUCAUUUUUUCCCAUCUUUUAAGGAUUUAGCUUGCAUGUUUCAUCAAUAAAUAUUUUCAUCAUUUUAAUCUGGACUUGGAUAAUAGCUACAUUUUUUGUCCAUUUUUUCCUUUUGUUAGGUGGGAAAAGAUGAUGAAGAUUGGAGAUGAAUUGAUGAUGUAGACACCAAAUUUUUGGUGUAAUUUCAUUUACUGUUUAUUUUUAGUUUGUUUAUUUGUCCUGUUAGUUUUAUUCGAUUUUUAGUUUUUAGUUUAUAGUUUUAUUUUUAUUUUUAAGUUUUUAGCAUAGAAUUUCUUGAAAUGAAAAAUAGAGAGAGAAAAAGGGAAAAAUGAUGAAAAAUGCAAAAUGAAAGGAAAAGAAUGAAAAUGGCAAAAAAUAGGUGGAAGUGUGCAUGUGGAACAAGUGUACAAAACAAUCAUGGGACAAGUGUCCCUUUUGUUUAAUUGACAACACAACAUUUAGGAGGACACUUGUUUAGCUUAGAAAGGAGGUUACGGGCAAAACAAAAAAAAGAAGAGGCCAAUUGGAGAGAAAGGACGGACGGAAGGGAAAAAGAGAGUAAAAAAAAACAGAGGGGAAGGCUAGGAAAAACAGAGGAGAAAGAGGGAAGGCUUGGGCUGGGGAAAACAGAAAAAGAAAAGGAGGGCUUUUCGGUAGAGGAAAAACAGAGAGGAGGCUUCAUCUGGGUAAAAAAAACAGAGGCGGCGGACGACCACUCCCUUUCCAAUAGCUCUUGAGCAGACCAUUGCCACCACCAGUCUUCAUCCACCAUCGCAGCGCGCCGCCAUCUCGCCAGAAUUCACCACCGUCGCCUGUGGACGCUCAUCGAACAAAAGCACUAUUUUCUGGUAUUGCCGACCAAAAAGAGAGCAGAGAGCUGCGGGUUUGAGGGAGGCUUUGGACAGAAAAAGCAGAGGUUCAAGGCUGCGAAGGAACAAGGCAGGGAAGGUCUGUCCAAGCCACCACCAGCCCGUGUCCGUCGCUGCUGCUGUCCGCCAUCACCACCAGCCCGUGUCCGCCGCUGCUGCUGUCCGCCAUCGCCACCAGCCGCCUGCCCAAAAACUGGAGCCACCACCACCAGAACCCACUGUCACCGCCAGCAAAGCUCACUGAGGGACCCCUGUGAGUUGCUCCCUUCCUUUACAUUUCAGUAUUUCCCUCAGAGCAUGACUGCCGUGAGUGGAUAUGGCAAGUUUUUAUGCCGAUUGUUUGCUAUUUUCAGAAUAUACAUGCUUCGUGUGUCGAUUGGGUUGAACUACUUGUUGUUUCUGAUGAUUUUUGGGCUGAUCAUUACACCAUUUGAACAGAGAAAUUGCUGAAUUUGUAAUGCCCAGUAGCUGUUCGAUUAAGUGCCUAAUUGAAAGUUCUAUUUGAAAGACGAUUCAUCUGCAAAUUAACGUUCAGUUUGCUCAUUUGCUUAUCCGAGCUUAAUAACCAUUUUUAUGGGAGAAGAUAUUGUUGGUUGGUUUGUACCUUUUCUGUGUUUUAUAUAUUUCCUUAUGCUUGAAUCCGAAUUGAUGUGAUAAGAGGAAGUGUUAUGAGUUUCCAUGUUUUGCUGGGAAUGAUGUGAUUUGAAAUCAAUUGCUGGUGCUGCUAACGGAAAAGGGAGCUGAAAUGGCAGCGGACGUUGAGCCAAUUUGGAGAAGAAGAUUACUUUAUUAAAUUCAUGAUUCCAGUCCUUCAAUUUCCCUUUUCCAUUAUGAUUUAACCCCAGAAUUUUAGGAUUUCAUAAUUUUGCCCCCAACAUCUUCAUAAGUCCUUCAAUUAGGUCCUUGCUUUUGUUGCAUUUUAAUCCCUCAAUUUCUGUCUAAUUUCAUUGUGGCUCAAAAUCUGGAAAAACCAAACUAAUUUUGCCCUUUUAAGCUUAUUCCUCUGUUUGCAUAUUUUAUGUGAUUUGUUGGAUAGAUUAAUUCUGGGAUUUGGAUUAUAAUUAUGGCCUAAUAAUUUUAGUUGAUUUGCUAAUCUUGUUAGGUUUGAUAUUAUGAUUUGGGUUGUGGGUAAUAAUAAUUUGUUUGGAUUUUUGACUUGGGCUUAAGGGGGGGGUAAAGCCCACUCUUUUGUUGGGUUUGUUUUAUUGAUAAGUGAGGGCCAGCCCACAUGUAGUCUCUGGGCUUUGCGGCAGGCUAAGGAGUCUUGGCCCAAACAAUAGAGAAAAGGGCCCAAUGGCCUGUUAAGUCAAGUAGCCCAAUGACGAAAUUUCUUUCCAGUCCCCUGACUUUUGGAUAUUUUUACUGUGGCCCUAGAUAUUUCCAUUCCAUUCAAUUGGGUCCUUACUUUAAUUACAAAUGAGUCCUUGAGCUUUAUUUUUCUUUAAUUUUGACCCCAAAACUUUGUUCAUUUUUGCAAUUAAGUCCCUUUUUCUUUUGACUUCUUAAAUGUGGUUUGUUGACAUGAUUCAAUUGAUUCAAAUUCAUGCUUAUUUUUAUCAUUUGUGAUUAUUUGCCAAAUAGAUUGGUGCCUUGACCCUUUUAUUGUUUUGAAGCUAAUAUUCUUUUCAUUUCACAACUCAAGGGAGGUAACCUCUAUUUCCUUGAUUUUAUUUUUCCUACGUGCUCCUACGUGUUAUGUGAAUAUGCAUGUCUACUUUGCUUUACUUGCCUUCCCUUAAUUCCUUGCAUUUAUUUCAUCUACUUUUUCUUUUAUUUAAGUUAUUCAUUAUGGGGUAUGUGUACACCUCUUGGCUUGUAAUAGAUAGGGCUGUGGCGAGCAAUUUGGUCCAUUUUCCCCUUCCCCUUUUGUUUUAGUUAGUGAAUGUAAUAAGUUCAUUAGCUUGGUUGCAUGCCUAUGUGUUACUUGUUACUUGCUUUAUUAGGGCCUUGCAUCUAGUCGGGCAUGCUAAAUGUUACGUGCUACGUGUUUAUGAGUAUCUGGUAUGUCUACUUGCUUUCCAUAGUGUGGAUGCAUGGAAUGGAUGAAUGUACGUCACUACACUAGUCCAACGCUAGUUGUGGCUUCUUUUAUCGUUUCCACUAGUCCAACGCUAGUCGGAAUUCAUAGAAUGGGCUAGUCCAACGCUAGACCCAAUAGGCUUUUUCCUUUCUUUUCAUUCGUGCAUAAUUUGCAUGUUCACUACAUAUCAUGCAAUUUUCCUUAGUUUUAUCAUUUGGCAUGCUCCUCUAAACCUUUCCCCUUCACUUUAGGUCUUGCAUUUCAUGCUAGUUAGGGUACAUUUGCUUGAAGUGUCCCCUCCGAUAAGGGAAACGAGCGAGUGUGGCUACUCGAUAGCCUUAGCACGCUAGUUUUGCCUUCUAAUCAAAGGGAAAAUCGAAGUCGAAAAAGUUAGGAGUCAUUCCCAUACCCGACCUGAUGCAUUCCUUUAGGUUCAUUCAUUCUCAAUUUUUCACUUACUCACUUUUUUCAAUUCACCUUUCCUCAUUACUUUUCCUUUCCUUAUUGUUCAAUUUUGGUUUCUACUUCACAAAAUUGCACUUAAUUACGAUCUAUAUACACUUAUCACUAUAUUUCAUACACUUGCACACAAACACUUGGAUUUUUCAUACAAUUUCACACAUGCACCUUUUCAUACACUGGCACACAAACACUUGGAUUUUUUAUACAAUUUCACACGUGCAUCUUUUUAUACACUUACACACUUGCACUUGAGUCACCAUUUGCAUCAAUCGACCUCUAUGAGGUUUCCCUUUAUUGGCCGCCACAAUUCAUGUGGUCUGGGACCAAAAACCUCACGAGAGACAUCAUAGAAUUUAGGAUUGCAUUUUUUCUUUCUUUUGCAUUCAUGUAGUGCAUCCAAAUGUAAUAAAUUCUUUGGUUAAAACAAGAAAAUCUUUGAUUAAAUCAUGCAACUAGCCUUGGCUAGGUCGAAGGGGUGCCUUGGAUUUUUAUCCUUGCCUUCCCCUUCGUCAAAUGUGACUCCCGAACCUUUUUCAUUGGUUUACGUGGACUAGGAGUCGUUUAAAAGGGGUUUUACAACUUUUUCCUAAAAAAUUCAUUUUUAGGUGACUUGGUACACCUUAACUCAUUACCAAGUGGCGACUCCCAUUUUUUCAAAAACCCCUUUUAAACUAUAAUUUUGGGUCAAAUCGUCGCAUUCUCAACCCCCCAUUUAGACCCAUUUUUCUUUUAAAUCAUAAUUCAUUUUCCAAAUCACAAAUUGAAUCAAAAAAUACAUUUUUAAACCAUUUAUUUAUUUAUCAAAAAAUGGGGCGCGACAGAUGAUGAUAUUGAUGGAGGUUUUACAUUCAUCCAUGGUUCCAGAUGUUUUACUGGAAACAUUAACCUUUACCCACCAUAUGUGUGUGUGUGUUUUUUUUACAGUUUCCUUUUUCUUUUCCAAAACUCACUUUCUUCUUGUUGCGAUUGCAGGUGUGAAGAGUUGGCAUUCUCACCAAUCUUCAUAUAUUUCAAAGGUAAGGCUUUAAUAUUUUGCUAAGUAAUUAUGCAAGGAAAAUUGUGUUAAGUUGACUAGAGUAGUUGUCGGGUUCUUAGACUAAAAAAUUUGUAGGAUCUUCAUGUCAUGGUAGUUUGAAUUCUAUUUCUCUUUCAUAGUUUUUUGUACUAGAAUUUCUUCUUAACUUUUGUGUGAAAGAACUGCUUUUGAUGGCUUACUUGAAGAAAGUAGGAGUAAUUGAAAUUGAUAUUUUAAAUCUGAGAAGUGGAUGAUGCCAUAGAGCUGGCACUGCAACCAGAGAGACUUACAACAUGCUGUUAUGGCUUCCACUUGAAAUCUGGAGGUGGAAGAACUAAAAUUGGACUGCAAACAACAAAAUUCAGGACCAUAUCAUGUGUAUGUAUGGAACAUAAAAUGGGAGGUAUGUAAGUGCCACCAAAUUUUGAUGGUUUACACAAUGAAUUGGUUAUUACUUUAUUUGAUAAUUAGAAUAUUUUGAUACAGUAUUGCGAUCGAACAAGUUGUGGUGACAUAUUUCUUGCUCAGGUAGACUUCACAUAAAGGGCAAUCUUCAGCACCUGAAUUCAAGUAUUUGUAGUGAUGUGAAGCUAGGGCUGCAAAGAAAAGAAAGGAAUCAUUGCGUUCUUCUUACUCUAACAUCACGCCAACUCUCAAUAGCCAAUACAAGUUAGGGCAUAAUUGCAUUGAUCCACCGCGCAUAGCGUGGAGACCACCUCCUAGUUUCUUUUCUAAGAGCAAAAGGCUACGAUAGUCUCUAAACUAAAUAUCAGAAGUUGGAAUAGUCGCUAAACUUAAUUGUGACCAAUUUAGUCGAUCAACUAUAUAUGCCUAGCUAGCCUAGUUCUUUUUGGAUUGAACCACUAAUGACACAAAAUUCUGCAGGUGGACAAAGGGGCAAAGAAGAAAAUUCACAUUCUAGCUCCCAUUAAAAUCAUUAAAAAAAGUUUUGGUAAUAAACUUUUAUUGUAAUUAUACUUUUCAAAUAUGUUUGUGGCCUUAUAACUCCCCACAGUUAUGCAUAUUUUUUGUGGCUUUUGACUGAAAUUGAAUGUUUACUUUAUUUUGGUGGCAUAUAGACUUUUUUUUUUUUUAUCAACAAACUCCGUCCACCAGAUGGGGAUGCUAGCCCCAACUUUUAUUCAUGCAAAACAAAAUAACAGUACAUAGGGUUAGAGAAAACUAUAAAACUAGGAGUCACUACAAGAAAUUUGGCCUUUUAUGACAAUAUUAUCAGUGACGAUGAAACACUUGUCAUAAUUGACCCAAUUUAGUGAUGAUUUUUGAUGUCGUCACAGAUGACCUCACAUAGACUUAUCAUCAGUGAUAACAUGGGAUUAGUCGUCACAACAAGGGUAGCACGCAACCUAUUAGUGUCACAGUCCCACCUCACCCUAAGGCGAAUCAAAGGGUUCGGCGGACCGUCUGCCCAACUCUCGCCGGGGCUCAGUCGUUCACUACAUUUCUCAAACAGAUUACAAUAUAAAUCUUAAAUAUUACAUUAAAUUCUCCAAUAAUUACAUGUCAUAAGUGAAGCGGAAACAAUUCCCAACUAUACAUAAAAUGAUUUCCAAAUCCAAAUUGUACAAGAUAUAAGCCAUCCUGUCACGUGAAUAAGUACUACAAGUCCUUCCUUCGCCUUGAGCCCUGUGAAGGGGAAUAAAAUAGUUUUGGGGUGAGCUAAAAGCUCAGCGAGUAACCAGUAAAAUCAGUAAUCAAAUCGGUUUCACAAUAGUUCAUUUCAAUGAUGUUAUAAAUCAAAUGAUAAGUCAAGAAACAAUUACAACAUUUACAAGAAACCAUACAUGAAAAGGAUACGUUCGUUCGUUCAUUCGCUCCUUCGUUCGUUCUCCUGUCAUUCCCCUUUCCUUCAUUCAUUUGAAAAUGCAUUUUUCAUUUAUCAAUAAAACCCUCAUUCGUUCGUUCGUUCAUUCAACCUUUCCUGGACAUUGACCAGGCUCCACCAACCUCCACCAACCUACAAGGUAAUACUCGAGUAUACCAAACGUUCACCCAAGUCACCAUAUCGACCGACCGAGUCCGCUUCUGGCUCAAGUCGAUCGGUAACAAGGGGCAGUGGUCAGUUCAGCCAAAAGGCUUACAUUCAUGCACAAGUAACAUUUCAAUCGUUCCAUCUUUGAAAAUUUCACAUUUAUCGAGGUCGAGUGCGAUAAAGUACACACUCGCCUAGAAAACUGUGACGACCCCACCUCCCCCUAAGGCGAACCAGAGGGUUCGGCGGGUCGCCUGCCCAGCUCUCGCCGAGACUCAGUCGUUCAUUUCAAUCCUCAAAUGAAUUACAAUAUAAAUCUCAAAUAUUAUACAUUAUAUGGUCCACAAACAUACAUCCAAGUCUCCAAUAAUUACAUGUCAUAAGCGAAGCGGAAACGAUUCUCAACUAUACAUAAAAUGAUUCCAAAUCCAAAUUAUACAAGAUAUAUGCAAUCCAGUCACGUGAACAAGUACUACAAGUCCUUCCUUCGCCACGAGCCCUGUGGAGGGGAAUAAAAUAUUUUUGGGGUGAGUUAGAAGCUCAGCGAGUAACCAUUAAAAUCAGUAAUCAAAUCGGUUUCACAAUAGUUCAUUUCAAUGAUGUCAUAAAUCAAAUGAUAAGUCCAGAAACAAUUACAACAUUUACAAUACAUUAAAAUGGAGUAUCAAUAAUUCAAGGAACAUUUACAAUGGAAAGCGAUAGUAACAUUCAUUAAAAGGAUACGGGCUCACAUGGAGCUAUUCGUUUGUUCGUUAGUUCCCCUGACAUUUCCCCUUAUUCUUCCAAUCGUUUGAAAAUACAUUUUUUUUGUAAGUAGAAUCCCUCGUUCAUCCUUUUGUUCGUUCAUCCCCUUUUCCGGACGUUGACCGGACUCCACCCAUCCGACCAUUGGCCGGACUCCACCCAUCCGGACGUAGCCGGACUACAAGGUAAUACUCGAGUAUACCAAAUUCAUCCAGGGUCACCAUAUCGCCCGACCGAGUCCGCUUCUGGCUCGAGUCGAUCGGUAACAAAGGGCAGUGGCCAAUUCAGCCAAACGGCUUACAUUCAUGCGCAACUAGCAUUUCAAUAAUUAAAUCCUUGAAAAUUGCACAGUUAUUUAGGUCGAGUGCGAUAAAGUACACACUCGCCUAGAAAGCUCGUUUUGGAAAUCAUUCAAAGCACUUAACACGUUAUCAAUCAAUAAUACAAGUCAUGAAGUCAAGAAAAUAUAGCAAAUAAGGAACACUCACAUGCAAGCACGCAUGAUAUGCAAGAAAACAGUUCAAAAGUAACUUUGAAAACAGUUUAAAGGUAAAUAAUGCAAGAAAACGGUACAAAAGUAACUUUGGAAACAGUUCAAAAAUAAAUAAUGCAGGAAAUGGUUCAUAAAUAGUUUGAGGUCACUCACCUCCAUGGCUCAGAAACCAUCCAUCAUAUAUCAUUGCCUUGCUCAAAUCCAAGUUUUAGAUCACAAACUCAAUGCAAACAAGUCCUUUAAAAGUUCGGACAGCACUUCCCCUAAAUUUGCUUACUUUUCCAGCCAUCAUGGUUUCAUUAUUUCCUCAGCCAAUCCCAAAGGGUACACACACAACAACAAGUUCAUCCAAUAGCCAUUCAGCAAGCUCCAAGUAGUUCAAAGACAAGUCAAGCUAGGAAAAAGUCCGGAAAUGAAAGUUAAGUUCAAAACCAGAAAAACAGUUUUGACAUCCUUUUACGGUAAUGGUACCAAAGGCGCUAUGAUUGUCGGAUGAAGGUUCAAGACCCACCGUUUCGAAGCUAAGAGACAGGGCUACAAUAUUUCAGAAGGUCACUCAACCCAGUUUCGAGUGUAACCAGGUCAAAAACACAAGAAACUACACCAGAAUCACAAAAACAGCUUCACAGAACGCAUUCUAGCGGAAACAUCAUAACUCAGGCUCUCCAAGUCCAAAUCCAUAAAUUCCAAAACCAGCUGAUAGCUAAGAAACAGGGAUAAAUUUCAUCAGAAGGCCUUAACAACUAAUUCGGAAGCAAUCCUGACCAAAACAACCAAUUACAGGCGCAAUUCUUACAUUCGGGUAAAACCAGAACAGCAAUAGUAAUUUCGACUUUCUCACUCUACGCUACUCCGAUUGACCUGAAAUUUUGUAGGCACCUCUAAAAUGUCAUUCCCUACAACUUUUAUGUUUUAAGCCAAGUUCAAUUCGGCCUCUAACUAAGAGCUAAAAAUUCGGGCAGAAUGUUCCUUCACAAAACCUAAUUUUCUGAAAUUUCUUCCAAAACAGAAAUUGAUUGCAAUUGUCCACUUUUUCCACCUUCUAGAAUCAUUAUAUACCAUUUCCAAUCAUCAUAGAUAGCCACACAAUCAUGCUUAUAUUAAAACAGAAAAAUCCCCAAAAAUAAUAAAACUUCAUCACUUCAACCACAAAUCAAGAAAUAAUCCAUAAAAGUGCAUCUUAUACCACCACCAAUCAUGAAUUGAACAUCAUUAGAGGAAGGAGAGGGGUCAUUCACAACUCACCUUAGCAAUACAAGAGAUAGAGCAACUAGUCACCUUAGCUUUCCAAACAACUCCACAAAACACCUCAAGACCACUUAGCAAAGAGAUUUUAUGGAAUGAUUUGGAGUUUUAUUGGUUGGAUUUGAAGAUUGAGCGAGAAAUAGAAGGAAGAAAUUGAGAGCUUUUCUUUCUUUUCCUCUCCAAUAAAUUCGGCCAAGAAGCUUGCAAAAUGAAGAGAUUUUUGGCCAAUUUUAAUUAAAUGGUAAAGUUAUGAAUAGUAGUCAAACUCAAGACUAAAUCUUAUGGUGACACUUGUCACCUUUUGGUUCAAAACUUAUCUUUUUGUCUCUCCAAUACAAAUAUCUUAACACCUUGUAAAAUAAUAUCACUUAAUACAAAAUUCCAACAAGUUGUCAAAAAUAUAAUGCAUUUACCGCACUGGCGGGUCCCACGUCCAAAAUACGCUUUGAAUUUCUCAAAAACUAACCGAUACUAGAAAAAUCAUUUUAAAACUAUCUUUGCUCAUAAACUUUAUCUGGGAAAUUUUUCUAAUCAAGAAAAUGUAGAAAAGGCGGGCGAUUAAAAAAAAAAUAAACCCUAGAAAAUUAGAAAAUUUCCGGUUUCUCAAACUCAUUUUUUUUGGGGCGUCACAAACUCCCCUCCUUAAAAGAAUGUCGUCCUCGACAUUCCAUCUUGUACUAAUCAAGUCAAGACAUCCCGCAAGAAUUACUAAUAUUGCAAACCAAACCCACAGUCCGGCAUCCUAAACUUCAAGCCUAGGAUACACUACAGAGAUCUGAAGCCUAAGCUCUGAUACCAGGUGUGACGGCCCCACCUCCCCCUAGGGCGUACCCCAGGGUUCGGCGGACCGCCUGUCCAACUCUCGCCGGGACUCAGUCGUUCACUACAAUCCUCAAAUGCAUUACAAUAUAAAUCUCAAAUAUUAUACAUUACAUGGUCCACAAACAUACAUCCAAGUCUCCAAUAAUUACAUGUUAUAAGCGAAGCGGAAACGAUUCUCAACUAUACAUAAAAUGAUUCCAAAUCCAAAUUAUACAAGACAUAUGCCAUCCAGUCACGUGAACAAGUACUACAAGUCCUUCCUUCGCCACGAGCCCUGUGGAGGGGAAUAAAAUAUUUUUGGGGUGAGCUAGAAGCUCAGCGAGUAACCAUUAAAAUCAGUAAUCAAAUCGGUUUCACAUAGUUCAUUUCAAUGAUGUCAUAAAUCAAAUGAUAAGUCCAGAAACAAUUACAACAUUUACAAUACAUUAAAAUGGAGUAUCAAUAAUUCAAGAAACAUUUACAAUGGAAAGCGAUAGUAACAUUCAUUAAAAGGAUACGCGCUCACAUGGAGCUAUUCGUUUAUUCGUUCGUUCCCCUAACAUUUCCCCUUAUUCCUCCAAUCGUUUGAAAAUACAUUUUUUUUGUAAGUAGAAUCCCGUUCAUCCUUUUGUUCGUUCAUCCCUUUUCUUUUCCGGACGUUGACCGGACUCCACCCAUCCGACCAUUGGCCGGACUCCACCCAUCCGGACAUAGCCGGACUACAAGGUAAUACUCGAGUAUACCAAAUUCACCCAGGGUCACCAUAUCGCCCGAUCGAAUCCGCUUCUGGCUCGAGUCGAUCGGUAACAAAGGGCAGUGGCCAAUUCAGCCAAACGGCUUACAUUCAUGCGCAACUAGCAUUUCAAUAAUUAAAUCCUUGAUUGUGGUCAUUGUAAUAAUUCAGUUCGGUUGACCAUAAGGACAAUUGUAUUACAAUUUUGCCAUCCCAUUGCAUUUUUCUUGCCGAUGACAAGAAAUUGGUUUUGGUUUUACCGUUUUCUUCAUCUUCUUCGUGCUCAUGUCAAGAGGUAAAAUUCUACUUACCCUUGGGUUGUAUUUGUAAUAUAACAUAAUUCCAUUAUUGUUGACGGCUAUUGAAAGGAGUUUCUUGAUUUGACUGUAGCACUUUCUUUGCUCUGUCCAACUCACCGCUACCGACAUUGUUGCUCGGAUUUUCUGCUUAUGCUAAUGGUUAGUGAUGUGUUUACUCUUUGCAUUCUUUUUUUGUAUAAUUUUUUAUAGCAUGACAUCCUAUCUUCCCUCUUACAUGAUUGUCUUUGGUAGUUGCUUUGCUCUGUUCUUAUUUUCUCUUUUAUUGCUCCGUUCCUUCGAAGCCUCUUCUUGGUUUUGCUCUUCUUGAUACAGAUUGGUCAGGUGAGCUUUUUCUUUUACUGAACUAUCUCAUCUAUAAUGCUGUUUAUUCCAAUAUGUUUUUUUGGUCGAACAUUCGUGGACUAACUCAGCUUUACUUACUUUGUUUAUGGGUGUUUUAUAUUUUGCCGUUGCAUUAAGGUAAGCCUAUGUUAAAUUUCCUGUCUUCUUUGAUUCUUUAUUCUACCUUUCAUUUAUCCAUUAUUUGUUCUUAUUUGUGUUCUGCCUUUUUCCCCUGUUUUCCCUUUACAUUUUGCAUGAGCUUUCUUCGUCUGUGGUUGCUGUAAGGAACUUUCUUUCUUUGUCACUAGACACUUGCAAAUUGGACUGUUCUGUGAGCCACCGAAUGUUUUGCUUCCACUCAAAAGAGUGACAAUAAUUGUGCUUUUUCUUCAAUGGUUGGGCCUAUUUUCCACCUUGCCUAACCUUUUAAACUAUACCUGCUUCUUUGACUUUGCCGUCGAUUUUCCGUCUUGUUCGUAUGGUGUUAGGAGCUGUUUUUCUUCUCAGAAGGUGAUGGGAUUUGGUGGAUGACGAGCUCAAGAAGGUAAGGGGCUAGUAAUCUUCUGUCUUGGUUACUCUUUCCAUUUUUCUCUUUUUUCUUCAUUUCCCUUUUCCCUCCUACCUCCCUCGAGUAAUAAUAGUUAGUUUCUUCUAUUUUUUUGCCUUUUUUUCCCUAAUCUUUUUUUUCCUUUGCUAAAAGCAACAAAUCAUUUUCUCCUCUCCUCUGCGUCUCUGUUUGUUAUGUUCUCAGAUAUUUUGCUAUUAAGAAAACUUCAUUUUUUUUGGGCUUUGUAAUCACUGAAUCUCCACUAUACUUAAUUUUCUGACAUGCUUCAUUUUUUCCCAUCUUUUAAGGAUUUAGCUUGCAUGUUUCAUCAAUAAAUAUUUUCAUCAUUUUAAUCUGGACUUGGAUAAUAGCUACAUUUUUUGUCCAUUUUUUCCUUUUGUUAGGUGGGAAAAGAUGAUUAAGAUUGGAGAUGAAUUGAUGAUGAUUUUGAUGGAGGUUUUACAUUCAUCCAUGGUUCCAGAUGUUUUACUGGAAACAUUAACCUUUACCCACCAUAUGUGUGUGUGUGUUUUUUUUACAGUUUCCUUUUUCUUUUCCAAAACUCACUUUCUUCUUGUUGCGAUUGCAGGUGUGAAGAGUUGGCAUUCUCACCAAUCUUCAUAUAUUUCAAAGGUAAGGCUUUAAUAUUUUGCUAAGUAAUUAUGCAAGGAAAAUUGUGUUAAGUUGACCAGAGUAGUUGUCGGGUUCUUAGACUAAAAAAUUUGUAGCAUCUUCAUGUCAUGGUAGUUUGAAUUCUAUUUCUCUUUCAUAGUUUUUUGUACUAGAAUUUCUUCUUAACUUUUGUGUGAAAGAACUGCUUUUGAUGGCUUACUUGAAGAAAGUAGGAGUAAUUGAAAUUGAUAUUUUAAAUCUGAGAAGUGGAUGAUGCCAUAGAGCUGGCAUUGCAACCAGAGAGACUUACAACAUGCUGUUAUGGCUUCCACUUGAAAUCUGGAGGUGGAAGAACUAAAAUUGGACUGCAAACAACAAAAUUCAGGACCAUAUCAUGUGUAUGUAUGGAACAUAAAAUGGGAGGUAUGUAAGUGCCACCAAAUUUUGAUGGUUUACACAAUGAAUUGGUUAUUACUUUAUUUGAUAAUUAGAAUAUUUUGUUACAGUAUUGCGAUCCAACAAGUUGUGGUGACAUAUUUCUUGCUCAGGUAGACUUCACAUAAAGGGCAAUCUUCAGCACCUGAAUUCAAGUAUUUGUAGUGAUGUGAAGCUAGGGCUGCAAAGAAAAGAAAGGAAUCAUUGCGUUCUUCUUACUCUAACAUCACGCCAACUCUCAAUAGCCAAUACAAGUUAGGGCAUAAUUGCAUUGAUCCACCGCGCAUAGCGUGGAGACCACCUCCUAGUUUCUUUU
rnacentral:lncRNA from 1 species